rnacentral:rRNA from 1 species
GUUGAAAAAUUAGCGGAUGACUUGUGGCUGGGGGUGAAAGGCCAAUCAAACCGGGAGAUAGCUGGUUCUCCCCGAAAUCUAUUUAGGUAGAGCCUUGAGCGGACACCUUCGGGGGUAGAGCACUGUUUCGGCUAGGGGUCCAUCCCGGAUUACCAACCCGAUGCAAACUACGAAUACCGAAGAGUGAUACUCAGGAGACACACGGCGGGUGCUAACGUCCGUCGUGGAGAGGGAAACAACCCAGACCGCCAGCUAAGGUCCCAAAGUCUAUAUUAAGUGGGAAACGAAGUGGGAAGGCUUAGACAGCUAGGAUGUUGGCUUAGAAGCAGCCAUCAUUUAAAGAAAGCGUAAUAGCUCACUAGUCGAGUCGGCCUGCGCGGAAGAUGUAACGGGGCUCAAAUAUAGCACCGAAGCUGCGGCAUCAGACGAAAGUCUGUUGGGUAGGGGAGCGUUCUGUAAGCGGAUGAAGAUGGCUCGAGAGGGCUGUUGGACGUAUCAGAAGUGCGAAUGCUGACAUAAGUAACGAUAAAACGGGUGAAAAACCCGUUCGCCGGAAGACCAAGGGUUCCUGUCCAACGUUAAUCGGGGCAGGGUGAGUCGGCCCCUAAGGCGAGGCUGAAAAGCGUAGUCGAUGGGAAACGGGUUAAUAUUCCCGUACUUGGAUAAACUGCGAUGUGGGGACGGAGCAGGUUAGGUUAUCGCACUGUUGGAUAUGUGCGUUUAAGUUGGUAGGUGUGAAGUUUAGGCAAAUCCGGACUUCUUUAACACCGAGAGAUGAUGACGAGGCUCUACGGAGCUGAAGUAACCGAUACCACACUUCCAGGAAAAGCCACUAAGCUUCAGGUUUAUCUAAACCGUACUGAAAACCGACACAGGUGGUCAGGUAGAGAAUACUCAGGCGCUUGAGAGAACUCGGGUGAAGGAACUAGGCAAAAUAGCACCGUAACUUCGGGAGAAGGUGCGCCGGCGUAGAUUGUAGUCCCUUGCGGAUGAAGGUUGAACCGGUCGAAGAUACCAGCUGGCUGCAACUGUUUAUUAAAAACACAGCACUCUGCAAACACGAAAGUGGACGUAUAGGGUGUGAUGCCUGCCCGGUGCUGGAAGGUUAAUUGAUGGUGUAAUCGAAAGAGAAGCUCCUGAUCGAAGCCCCAGUAAACGGCGGCCGUAACUAUAACGGUCCUAAGGUAGCGAAAUUCCUUGUCGGGUAAGUUCCGACCUGCACGAAUGGCAUAAUGAUGGCCAGGCUGUCUCCACCCGAGACUCAGUGAAAUUGAAAUCGCCGUGAAGAUGCGGUGUACCCGCGGCUAGACGGAAAGACCCCGUGAACCUUUACUAUAGCUUGACACUGAACAUUGAAUUUUGAUGUGUAGGAUAGGUGGGAGACUUUGAAGAUGAUACGCCAGUAUUGUUGGAGUCGUCCUUGAAAUACCACCCUUUAACGUUUGAUGUUCUAACGAAGAUUACGAAACGUGGUCUCGGACAGUGUCUGGUGGGUAGUUUGACUGGGGCGGUCUCCUCCCAAAGAGUAACGGAGGAGCACGAAGGUUUGCUAAUCACGGUCGGACAUCGUGAGGUUAGUGCAAUGGUAUAAGCAAGCUUAACUGCGAGACAGACAAGUCGAGCAGGUACGAAAGUAGGUCAUAGUGAUCCGGUGGUUCUGAAUGGAAGGGCCAUCGCUCAACGGAUAAAAGGUACUCCGGGGAUAACAGGCUGAUACCGCCCAAGAGUUCAUAUCGACGGCGGUGUUUGGCACCUCGAUGUCGGCUCAUCACAUCCUGGGGCUGAAGUAGGUCCCAAGGGUAUGGCUGUUCGCCAUUUAAAGUGGUACGCGAGCUGGGUUUAGAACGUCGUGAGACAGUUCGGUCCCUAUCUGCCGUGGGCGCUGGAGAACUGAGGGGGGCUGCUCCUAGUACGAGAGGACCGGAGUGGACGCAUCACUGGUGUUCGGGUUGUCAUGCCAAUGGCACUGCCCGGUAGCUAAAUGCGGAAGAGAUAAGUGCUGAAAGCAUCUAAGCACGAAACUUGCCCCGAGAUGAGUUCUCCCUGACUCCUUGAGAGUCCUGAAGGAACGUUGAAGACGACGACGUUGAUAGGCCGGGUGUGUAAGCGCAGCGAUGCGUUGAGCUAACCGGUACUAAUGAACCGUGAGGCUUAACCUU